ACAAAAAAACACAAAAAAAU
rnacentral:sRNA from 1 species